rnacentral:tRNA from 1 species
AUAUAUAUAGUUUAAUAAAACAUUACAUUUUCAUUGUAAAAAUAAGUAUAUU